ensembl:lncRNA
CCAUUCCAGACAUCUGACCUAGAGAAACAGUGAGGCUUGUGUAAAACUGCUACAUGUGUGAUAAUUGGUUACACAUCAACACAAAAGUAACACAGUCAGUACAGAAAGGAUCAGAGUAAUAGCUACUAAAGAAGAGCAGGGUGGGGAAGAGUAUGCCAACACUUUCAGCGAUUUAGAGGUGUUUGGAAUGGACAAGGGAGCUUCCCUGGUGGCUUAGUCUGUAAAGAGUUCGCCUGCAGUGCAGGAGACUGGGGUUCCAUCUCUGGGUCUGGAAGAUCCCCUGGAGAAGGAAAUGGAAUGUGUGAGGAGAAGAGAGAAGAGACUGAAAGACGAGAUGAGUAUUUGUUUGGACUGCACUUCUAUAAGCUAGGUCUUGUUCUGGGAGGGGCUGAAAUUGCCUGAGGGAGGCUGUGUGGGUGGAGUAAGAAAAUCUGAAUGGGAUUCCUACCUUGAUGAGCGGGUAAAUGCAACUUUUGACUCCAUCUCAUAUCUGAACAAAGAGAUCAUGUGACUUGCCCAUGACCGCUGGGAAACGAAUAUCUAGCCAGGAGACCUGAAUCCACUUGCAAUAAGGAAGAUAAAGUUAAAAAAAAAAACAAAACAGAAAACGUGCUGUAGC